AUUGAACGCUGGCGGCAGGCUUAACACAUGCAAGUCGAGCGGGGGGAGGUAGCUUGCUACCUAACCUAGCGGCGGACGGGUGAGUAAUGCUUAGGAAUCUGCCUAUUAGUGGGGGACAACAUUUCGAAAGGGAUGCUAAUACCGCAUACGCCCUAAGGGGGAAAGCAGGGGAUCUUCGGACCUUGCGCUAAUAGAUGAGCCUAAGUCGGAUUAGCUAGUUGGUGGGGUAAAGGCCUACCAAGGCGACGAUCUGUAGCGGGUCUGAGAGGAUGAUCCGCCACACUGGAACAGAGACACGGCCCAGACUCCGACGUGAGGCAGCAGUGGGGAAUAUUGGACAAUGGGGGGAACCCUGAUCCAGCCAUGCCGCGUGUGUGAAGAAGGCCUUUUGGUUGUAAAGCACUUUAAGCGAGGAGGAGGCUACUGAGACUAAUACUCUUGGAUAGUGGACGUUACUCGCAGAAUAAGCACCGGCUAACUCUGUGCCAGCAGCCGCCGUAAAAC
rnacentral:rRNA from 1 species